GAUGAACGUUGGCGGCGUGCUUAACACAUGCAAGUCGAACGGAAAGGCUCCUGCUUGCAGGGGUACUCGAGUGGCGAACGGGUGAGUAACACGUGGGUGAUCUGCCCUGCACUUCGGGAUAAGCCUGGGAAACUGGGUCUAAUACCGGAUAGGACGAUGGUUUGGAUGCCAUUGUGGAAAGUUUUUCCGGUGUGGGAUGAGCUCGCGGCCUAUCAGCUUGUUGGUGGGGUAAUGGCCUACCAAGGCGUCGACGGGUAGCCGGCCUGAGAGGGUGUACGGCCACAUUGGGACUGAGAUACGGCCCAGACUCCUACGGGAGGCAGCAGUGGGGAAUAUUGCACAAUGGGCGCAAGCCUGAUGCAGCGACGCCGCGUGGGGGAUGACGGCCUUCGGGUUGUAAACUCCUUUCGCUGGGGACGAAGCGUUUUGUGACGGUACCUGGAGAAGAAGCACCAGCUAACUACGUGCCAGCAGCCGCGGUAAUACGUAGGGUGCGAGCGUUGUCCGGAAUUACUGGGCGUAAAGAGCUCGUAGGUGGUUUGUCGCGUCGUUUGUGUAAGCCCGCAGCUUAACUGCGGGACUGCAGGCGAUACGGGCAUAACUUGAGUGCUGUAGGGGAGACUGGAAUUCCUGGUGUAGCGGUGGAAUGCGCAGAUAUCAGGAGGAACACCGAUGGCGAAGGCAGGUCUCUGGGCAGUAACUGACGCUGAGGAGCGAAAGCAUGGGUAGCGAACAGGAUUAGAUACCCUGGUAGUCCAUGCCGUAAACGGUGGGCGCUAGGUGUGAGUCCCUUCCACGGGGUUCGUGCCGUAGCUAACGCAUUAAGCGCCCCGCCUGGGGAGUACGGCCGCAAGGCUAAAACUCAAAGGAAUUGACGGGGGCCCGCACAAGCGGCGGAGCAUGUGGAUUAAUUCGAUGCAACGCGAAGAACCUUACCUGGGCUUGACAUACACCAGAUCGGGCCAGAGAUGGUCUUUCCCUUUGUGGUUGGUGUACAGGUGGUGCAUGGUUGUCGUCAGCUCGUGUCGUGAGAUGUUGGGUUAAGUCCCGCAACGAGCGCAACCCUUGUCUUAUGUUGCCAGCACGUUAUGGUGGGGACUCGUGAGAGACUGCCGGGGUUAACUCGGAGGAAGGUGGGGAUGACGUCAAAUCAUCAUGCCCCUUAUGUCCAGGGCUUCACACAUGCUACAAUGGUCGGUACAACGCGUCUGCGAGCCUGUGAGGGUGAGCUAAUCGCUGUAAAGCCGGUCGUAGUUCGGAUUGGGGUCUGCAACUCGACCCCAUGAAGUCGGAGUCGCUAGUAAUCGCAGAUCAGCAACGCUGCGGUGAAUACGUUCCCGGGCCU
rnacentral:rRNA from 1 species